AAUUAUUUAGCUAUUAAAGCAAUAUGUUUUGAAUACAUAUGAAAGAAAAAAAAUUUUCUAAUAAUUU
rnacentral:tRNA from 1 species